AGAAAAUUAAUCGAGAUCACGUAAAGCUCAAGGAUCAAUUCAUGAAUAAUAAAGCUCAAAAAAUGAGUCUUAUCAAACUUUCUUGAAGAGCUCAAUUAAGUGCUUCUCGAAGAGGAGGAAGGAUAUCUUCGUCCGGCAACAAGCCGGAAACUGUGCAAUCAACGAAGAAUACAAGAGAUCGGAUGAGCUCAAACUCGCGCUCAGAUAAAAUAUGUAUAUAUAUAAAAUAGUGAUCACAAGUAAGGAAUUAAUAAAACACGUGGAAAUUUUUAUGACUGAGUUUUGGUGAAACUUUAUCUAUUAUUCAUAGUAUGGCAUUCAAAAGGAGAAGGUGAAGGUCGCGCUUCAUUAGUUAUGCAUUCAAAAAUAAAAAAAAUUACAUGGAUUUUAAAUAUAUAUAGAUGGAUGCACAAAAACACAGGAAACACUUGCGAAAUUGAAGAAUUCCAGAACAGGAAUUAAAGAAAUACUUUUGCGAAAUUGACAAAUUCCAGAGCAGGGAUUGGAGAAUUUCAAAGGAAACACUUGCGAAAUUGAAGAAAUAGAUGGAUUUUACAUAGAAUUCCAGAACAACAAUAACAGAGGAAUUAAUACACACGGGAGUGGCGGAAUCUGGUGUUGUCUGGGAAGAUCGAAGAUGACGACUGGUGUUCAAGGGGAAUGGCGGAGCGUCCAAGGUCGUUUUUCUCUCUCAAUCAAUGACUGAUGUUCUAUGGGAAAGGUUGAAGACGACGGCGCGUGCCCAACCACAGCAGAUAAGAUUAGCGCCACGUGGCGCUUCGGUCAUGGUGCCAAUAGAUAAGGCACUGAUCCAUAUCAACUCAUACCAAGCCAUCAAGGCACUCA
rnacentral:lncRNA from 1 species